UACGUAGGUGACCAGCGUUGUCCGGAUUUACUGGGCGUAAAGAGCGCGCAGGCGGUCGUUCAAGUCGAGUGUGAAAGCCCCCCGGCUCAACUGGGGAGGGUCACUCGAUACUGAUCGACUUGAAGGCAGGAGAGGGAAGCGGAAUUCCCGGUGUAGUGGUGAAAUGCGUAGAUAUCGGGAGGAACACCAGUGGCGGAAGGCGGGCUUCCCUGGCCUGUUCCUUGGACGCU
rnacentral:rRNA from 1 species